rnacentral:rRNA from 1 species
GAUGAACGCUGGCGGCGUGCUUAACACAUGCAAGUCGAGCGAAGCACUUUUAAGGAAGUUUUCGGAUGGAAUUAAAAGUGACUGAGCGGCGGACGGGUGAGUAACGCGUGGGUAACCUGCCUCAUACAGGGGGAUAACAGUUGGAAACGACUGCUAAUACCGCAUAAGCGCACAGUGUCACAUGACACGGUGUGAAAAACUCCGGUGGUAUGAGAUGGACCCGCGUCUGAUUAGGUAGUUGGUGAGGUAACGGCCCACCAAGCCGACGAUCAGUAGCCGACCUGAGAGGGUGACCGGCCACAUUGGGACUGAGACACGGCCCAAACUCCUACGGGAGGCAGCAGUGGGGAAUAUUGGACAAUGGGGGAAACCCUGAUCCAGCGACGCCGCGUGAGUGAAGAAGUAUUUCGGUAUGUAAAGCUCUAUCAGCAGGGAAGAAAAUGACGGUACCUGACUAAGAAGCCCCGGCUAACUACGUG